AGAAACAGCGGCGUAGGGCCAGAGUGUUCGAUUUUUGCUACCAUAGAAAGCAGGGACUGGUGGGCCAGAGCGUCCCAUUGCAACCAUAGAGAUCGUAGGACUUAUGCCAUAGAGGGGGUUGUGCGUCUGGCAGGGCCAGACGGUUCGCUCCCGCACGGCAGAGAGGGUGUGUGGCUGGGCCAGACCACCCUAUCCCUCACUAUAGGGGAGGGGUGCGUGGGUGGGCGGGCCAGGCCUCCCAGCAUAAAGAGGGAUGGUGUGGGGCUCGGACGGGCCAGACACCUGCUCCCCUACCAUAGAGAGGGGUGGAGCUGUUUUGUGGCUAGGUCAGUGUACCAUCUCUGGGGUUUUCAGUCUGGUCCCCACUGGGGCAGGCACCCAAGUCCCCAAACGUGCUGUCCCCCUCAGAGAGCAGUCGGAGGGAAGCACGUUGGCAGGGGGUGAUGUAAGCUUUCCCUGCCCAAGCAGCCCCAUCUGGAGAGGCACAGAGGAGUCAGUCCCUUGUGGUGUAGAUGGAGUGUAUUUGUGCAGGUCUCACUCUGCCCAGGCUGCUCCCAUGCUCAGUACCUACAGAGGCCUUAGUUCCUCUGUAGUUAGUUCCACUGACCCUUCCCCCUGCGACUGGGCCUCCCCAGUCCAGUCUUCCCUCAGACAACACCUAAACCCACUGCAUCAGGGCUCUGCUGACCCCGUUCUGCAUUAGUCUUGGGCGGUGCACUAGGGAGACACAAAUGAACUAAAUGGAUUUCAUCUGAUCAAUCCCAGGGCUUUACCUGGCCAGGGAACCUUCAGUCCUGAAGGCAGCUCUGUUGUGGUCUCUCUCCACCAGGUGGGGGGAAGGGGUGGGGAUUUGUGCGGUGGUCCUCACUGGGAAGCACUGGGACCUGUAAGUGGGAGCAGGGGGCACCCAGCCUUCUCUCCCCAUCCCUCAGUGGGCAAAUCAUUGGGUCUGAGGCCCCCCAUCUUGUGGUCUUUAAUGAUAGAGAACCAUCUGGGAAGGGGGAUGGGUAUUUCUCCCACAGCCCAUGAUGCUGUGAAUGUGCCCCAUAGUGACCUCUCUAAUCUGCCUGGGGCUCAUCACCCCAAUCCCAUUAAGGCCCCUUUAAACUUUAGGAGUCAUGUAAUCAGGCUGGCUUAGACCUGGGCAUGACAGGGAAAUGGGAUCAUGGUGGGGCCUGGUAACUGGACAAAUCUUGAGGUGGGGCCUUCCCAAUCUUAGGGGCUCUGGGGCCCCUGUUCACUGCUCCAUGGCUGCCAAAUUAAUCCAGUCCUGCCCUGACCCCGUUCAUGGUGAAAGCCAGCCUGUGUCAGUAGCAUCUGCUGACUCAAUCUCCCACCCAUGGCUGGAGCAGCCCCAGGGAUCCAGCGGCCUUGCCCCUUAGCUAGGGUGUGCAAGCUUCAUGCCAGAGGCUGAGAUCUGGGUCCCCUACCUGACCUUUAAAGAGCUCCUCUGCUCCCCCACCUCCAGGGCAGCCAGUUGGCUCCUUGGGCAGUUCCCAUGAGCUCAUUGGGUGAUUAACUGAAGCCCUGAUUCCAAUCCUCCCCUCGUAAUUAUCCAUGUCCUGGGACAACUCCCGGCCAGGGCAGCAGCUGCCCCUGCCCUGAUCGGUCUGGGCUCCCACCUUAGUCUGUAGGUGCAGGGGUUGGGAACAUCUCCCUGGAGCAGGCAGCCCUCAUAGUGUGGGGCCCAGGGCUGGGAGUGCAGUCCAGGGAGGAGAGGAGAGCACUCUCCCUGGGGUGGAGAUUACUGAAUGCAGGGGGGAUCCAAGGGUUGGGAGUACAGGGGGGCUUGGCAGGGGUGCUCUAGCCAGAUUGGGGGGCACUGACAAUGCAGAAGGUCCUAGCAGGGAGCACUGAAUAGGGGAAUCCAGCCGCCCCCCUCCCCGGCACCAUAGAGCUGUUGUGCCCAGGGGAUUAGCCUGGUGUCAGGACAAAGCGCUUAUGGUGCCUGGAGCAUCUGUCAGCUCCCUGCCCUGGGGGCUGCUGGGCCCUGUAAUCCCUGCACAUCCUGGGAUGGCCCAGGGCAGCGCCUGAUGCAUCGCUAUGGCUGAGGGGACUCUGGAUUGUGGUGGUGCCGCAUCCCAGGCAGUGCUGACCCCUGGUGAGGCUUGCAACCCCAUCCAGCUACCUGUGGCGACCCCAGGGCAGAACAGCCUGGCCUGGCUCCAUAGCACUGACAAGGAGGUGCAGUGGCUAUCAGAAGUGGGAAGGAGCCCUAUCCAGACAGAGCCUCCUGCACAGAGCCAGGUCUCUGGGCAGCUAAGCUCCCCCAGCGCGCAAACUAACCCCCUUAUCCUCUGUGCCUCGUUCUUCCUGGAGCCAUGUGAGAUGAGCAAAGACGCCCCUAGGGAGCCGUGUGAGGGGUUGUGCAAAGGUCCCCCUGAGGAGCUGUCUGAGGUGAUGUACAAGGAUCCCCUCAGGGAGACGUGUGAGGUGGUGUGCGUGGAGCUGUGUGAGGACACUCCUCCCUGGGAGCUGUGCAGGGAUCCCCCCAUGGAGCCAUGUGAAGGGCUGUGCAAGGAAAUGUGCAAAGAUCCUCCCCCCAGGAAGCCAUGCGAGGGCCCCCUUGAAAGCCCAGUGCAGGGGAAGGCCCAGCUGCCGUCCAUCGCCACCCACAGAGGCGGGAGAGGUGGAGAGCGGGGAGCUGCGCUGGCCCCCAGAUGACUUCCUGCUGCUGGAGGGCGAGGACGAGCUCUUCACUGAUGGAGAGGAGGCCCCCCGCACUGGAAAGCACCCUGGAUGAAGUGCUGCUGUGAAGCUGCCGGGGACAGAGGGGACCCCACUCUCUCCCUGUCUGGCCUCAGACCCCACUAGAGACCCAGCUGUAGCCUUGUGGGGGGCCGUAGCUCAGGGACUGAGGACACCCUCCCCAGGAGCUGGACAGCAGCAGGAGGGGAUGGGCCCCCUGCCACCAGGACCUUAGGGGGCAGAAUAAGACCAGCCUGGGGCAUCUUCCGUGCCGGAUCCAGUGCACCCCGUCUGUGAGCAAGAGUCAGCGUGACUUUGAUCUGGGACAGCAGCACCAUGGGGCAUGCACUGCCCCCCCCACCUCCCGCAGCUGGGGGGCCAGCUGCCUGCAGGGUUUGUGCCAGUGGGUACAAGCUGCCCACUCCUCCCCUGCUGAGCUCAGCAAUAAAAGGUUCCUGUCCUAGCUGUGGUGUCUCACUGUGAAGUGGCUGGCGAGGCCCUGGGAACAGGUGCAGUGCCUCAGUGGGGCCAGCUCCCGGGGGCUGCAAGCUCCACACUCUCUGAGCCCCAGGGAGUGGCUGAGCUGGGGGGAGGGAGGCAGCAAUACCUGAGCACCUGCAUCUGAGGUGUAGGGCCCCCAGCUGAUGCAGUAGGAGGGGGCUGCUGUUCAAGGGCGGAGUUGCCCACAAUGGGGGUG